GGCUCCUGGCAAUGUCAUUAGCAAACGGUUUCCUGUGCACAUCAAGGGAGAGGGGAUGCAAGAAAGGCCUGUCAGUGUGUGUUUAUGUGUAUGUGUGCACACAUAUGCAUGCAAGUUUCACAAGGCAUACACCUGAAGGUCAGAGGACAACUAACUGGAUUAAAUUCUCUUCUACCAGCACUGAAGAUGGAAGCAAGAGUCUUACAGAAGAUAGGUACCCUACUACUGAGCUUCAUUCUCUGCCCUAAAAAAAAGGUUCUUAUUUAAAAAAAAAAUUGAAUCUUAAAGUGUGUGUUGGAUUAAUUCCAGUGCAUUUAAAACAUUAGAGUCUCAAGAGGUGAGGAUAAAACCACAUUAUUUUUAAUCAAACAUAUAUGCAAUUUAGCAUUUAUUUAAAAACACAAUAGUUGCUAGUACCAAACAGUGUGAAUAUAUUUUCAGCAAUUAAGAGCUACCAGCUGAAAACCAUCAUUUGGUACUGUAUUCUUAGAAUAUUGGUUUCGGAGAAAACUUAAAAAUGCAGGAAAUAUUAUAGAUCUCAUUUGAUCCUGUAGACAAUAAUAAACAGAAGUUUCACUCUCCCUUGGAGCCUAUCUAUUAAGAAUUGGUCAUCUAGAGCUCCUGCAAUGGGAUACCUGAUUUGGGCACCUGUGGGUAUAUGAACCCUUCAGAGGAGAGUUGAAGGUGGAGCUCAUCUGUUAUGUGGG
rnacentral:lncRNA from 1 species